UACGAAGGGUGCUAGCGUUGCUCGGAAUUACUGGGCGUAAAGGGCGCGUAGGCGGACAGUUUAGUCAGAGGUGAAAGCCCAGGGCUCAACCUUGGAAUAGCCUUUGAUACUGACUGUCUUGAGUUCGGGAGAGGUGAGUGGAAUGCCGAGUGUAGAGGUGAAAUUCGUAGAUAUUCGGCGGAACACCAGUGGCGAAGGCGACUCACUGGCCCGAUACUGACGCUGAGGCGCGAAAGCGUGGGGAGCAAACGGG
rnacentral:rRNA from 1 species